rnacentral:ncRNA from 2 species
CUUAAAGGAAUUGACGGAAG